CCUGGUAGCUCAGAUGGUAAAGCAUCUGCCUACAAUGCAGGAGACCUGGGUUCAAUCCCUGGGUCGGGA
rnacentral:tRNA from 1 species